AUUGAACGCUGGCGGCAUGCUUUACACAUGCAAGUCGAAUGGUAACAGGCCGCAAGGUGCUGACGAGUGGCGAACGGGUGAGUAAUGCAUCGGAACGUGCCCAGUCGUGGGGGAUAACGCAGCGAAAGCUGUGCUAAUACCGCAUACGAUCUAGGGAUGAAAGCGGGGGACCGUAAGGCCUCGCGCGAUUGGAGCGGCCGAUGUCAGUUUAGGUAGGUGGUGGGGUAAAGGCCUACCAAGCCGCGGAUAUGUAGCUGGUCUGAGAGGACGACCCGCCACACUGGGAAUGAGACACGGCCCAGACUCCUACGGGAGGCAGCAGUGGGGAAUUUUGGACCAUGGGCGCAAGCCUGAUCCAGCAAUGCCGCGUGCAGGAAGAAGGCCUUCGUGUUGUAAACUGCUUUUGUACGGAACGAAACGGUCUGGGUUAAUACCCUGGGCUAAUGACGGUACCGUAAGAAUAAGCACCGGCUAACUACGUGCCAGCCGCCGCCGUAAAAC
rnacentral:rRNA from 1 species